rnacentral:rRNA from 1 species
AAGCAUAUCACUAAGCGGAGGAAAAGAAACUAACCAGGAUUCCCCUAGUAACUGCGAGUGAAGGGGGAUGAGCCCAGCACCGAAGCCUGCGGCCGUUUGGCUGUUAGGCAAUGUGGUGUUUAGGUUUACUCUUGGCAUAACUGCUCCAUCCUAAGUCCAGCACUGAGUAUGGCAUCUGGAUUGGCCCAUGGAGGGUGAAAGGCCCGUAGGGGUGGAGAUCAAGUCGGCCAGUUUUGCCCUGAGUAAACCUUGGAGUCGGGUUGUUUGUGAAKGCAGCCCAAAGCGGGUGGUAAACUCCAUCC